rnacentral:rRNA from 1 species
GAUGAACGCUGGCGGCGUGCUUAACACAUGCAAGUCGAGCGGACGGGCGCUGCUUUUGCUUGGUUCUUGUUUGCCGAACGCGUGUGUAACACGUGUGUAACCCGCCCCUGUCUUUGGGGUAUCUUCUCGAAACUGGGGCUAUUAUCCGAUAUGAUCUCUUGCUCCGUGGUGGGCAUUGGAAAAAUUCGGCGGUACUGGCUGGAUUAGCGGGUUAUCAGCUUGAUUGUGAGGUUGUUGCGUUCCAAGGGUAUGACGGGUAGGCGGCCUGAGAGGGUGAACGGCGACAUGGGGACUGAGAGACGGCCCAGAAGCGAACGGGAGGCAGCAGGGGGGAAUAUUGCGCAAUGGGGGGGAGCGUGAGGCAGAAACGCCGCGUGCGGGAUGACGGCUUACGGGUUGUAAACCGAUUAGGCAUGAGACGAAGAGUGAGUGACGGUAAUGGAUAAAGAAGCAACGGCUAACUACGUG